CCUACGGGGGGCAGCAGUGGGGGAUAUUGCACAAUGGGGGAAACCCUGAUGCAGCGACGCCGCGUGAGGGAAGAAGGAUUUCGGGAUGUAAAGCUCUAUCAGCAGGGAAGAAAAUGACAGUACCUGACCAAGAAGCCGCGGCUAACUAUGUGCCAGCAGCCGCGGGAAUACGUAGGGGGCGAGCGUUAACCGGUUUUACGGGGUGUAAAGGGAGCGUAGACGGUUAUGUAAGUCUGGUGUGAAAGCCCGGGGCCCAACCCCGGGACUGCUUUGGAAACUGUGUAACUGGAGUGCAGGAGGGGCAGGCGGAAUUCCUGGUGUAGCGGUGAAAUGCGUAGAUAUCAGGAAGAACACCGACGGCGAAGGCGGCCUGCUGGACUGAAACUGACGUUGAGGCUCGAAAGCGUGGGGAGCAAACAGGAUUAGAUACCCGAGUAGUC
rnacentral:rRNA from 1 species